AACGUAGGUGGCGAGCGUUAUCCGGAUUUACUGGGCGUAAAGGGUGUGCAGGCUGCUCAUCAAGUGGUGUAUGAAAUCGCCCGGCUCAACCGGGCGGGGUUAUGCCAGACUGGUAAGCUAGAGUGCGGGAGAGGGGCGUGGAAUUCCGGGUGUAGUGGUGAAAUGCGUAGAGAUCCGGAGGAACCCCAGAGGCGAAGGCGGCGCCCUGGCCCGCAACUGACGCUCAGACACGACAGCAUGGGGAGCGAACGGG
rnacentral:rRNA from 1 species